ACCCCACGGUGUGGGAUAAUACUGGAUAUGUUGUUGUUGUUGUUGUUAUAAGUAGUAUAUAGGGUGAUAAGGGAGGGAGGUAAGAUCCUCCACCUCCAAAGAUAAUAUUGUAAUAACCAGAAAUAUUUUUAUGUAAUUAUUAAUUGUGAGAUUGAAGAAUUAAUUUUAUUUGUAGCUAUUAAGUCAAAUACUAAGCUAGUAUAUAAGAUAGGAUAGUGUAUUAAAUAAGUGGCUAGUGGGCUAAUUACAUAUUACAAAUUAAGAAUUUAAAGUAAGUGACGUAAGUUAAAUUUUUUGUAAAGAUGUAAAGUAUGUCAGUCCCGCAAUUUACUAGUGGGUCACGUAAACUUACUCUAGGGUAUAUAGAUGGAAAUUCAAGUUCCCUACUAUGAGAAAACAAAAAGAAAAAGAAAAAAAGAAAGAAUACAAGUUGGCUUGGAGAACGAAGGCCAAGGAUCCUAUGUGGAAUCCAUACCAAAUUAAGAAGAAACCAAAGUUCAGAUAAUACUAAACUUUGUUAUGUCUUUUGAAUUGAUUCUUUUGGUUAGAAUAAAGUGUAUAAGCCAAUGAUUAAGGUGAUAAUUACAAGACCAAUUAUUAUAGCAAUAAUGUGUAAGCUUGUAAAAUUACGUAGCGGGGGAUUGCAAACUAAGAAAUGGUCUAUGAAGGAAUUAUUUGGACUUUAUUGUCUUAGAACAUUGGUGGCUAAAGGAUGAUUAAGUGUUGUUGUUGACAUAGCAAGGUUAAUAUGCUAUAUUCUAAUGUAAUAUAAUUAAGCUAAUUUGACUUGAGAAACUAGGAGCAGUAGCAAUUAAUUGUCUUGAACUAUGGUAGAAAGAAUCUAAGUAAUCAAGUAAUUUGUAUAUACUCCUAUGCUUAAGUAGUGUAGUGAACUAAUAUGAGUAAUAUGGUUACCAUGUAUAUGUUAACAAUAAUUAAGACAAGGAUGAGAAAUUAUUAUAGUAAUGAACAAGUAAUGAUGAGAACAAUGAUCAGGAAUUUAACUAUUACUCGUAUGAAAGUUAUGGGAGUUUGCAUGUUGGAAAGAAAACAGUGGUAUAAGCACGCGAAGUUCUUCUGGGACGUUACCAUUGCAGCGUUACAAUGCCUCAUUUGGCAUUUAAUUAUGUACAAAUUUUUAAACCGAGGGUUGACUUUAAUUUUGGCUUGUUCUAAAAUUGUGAAUUUUUUUCACGUAGACUAAUUAGGACGUGUUAUUCAAUAUUUUUAAUAGAUUGAGGCCAUUGGGGGCCAUUUGGUUGGUGGUCUAGACGUUGCAAGGUUGGGGAACUUCUCGUUAGCGAGGUAAUUGAGCCUUAAGCAUUGAUGCUUGCUUUUCCAAAGUCCGUUUUGAAAGUAUGUUUUGUCUGCCUGGUCCAUGUGAUGGGACGAGCGUGUGCUUGGCAGAAUCGGUGGUCUUAGACCAGCCGCAAAUAUUUAUUAUUUGUGAAAAAGCUGAAAUUAUUUAAUAAGUGAUUUGUUGUGUGACGUAGCCUCGUGCUAUGGCGCUGGAGCAUUAGAAAUUAUUUCUUUGUUGCCGUAAUAUAUUUGGGGCAUUGCAUAUGCCGUCAGGUAGAGCUGGAGCAUUAUGUAUGCUGCCGUGGAUUUGUCGGGGUGUUCGGUUAAUUUCCUUCACUGCCGUUUAUGACAAGUCCUUAGGAUGGAUUGUGCUGAUAUAUAUAUAUAUAUAUUAUAGAAUAAUUAUUUGGACCUUAUGGAGUAAUUAUAUGGUGAAAGGGUUUCUGUGCAUAUUAUUUCUCUACUCGUUCUGUAUUUGUAUUUUCUAACACUUGUUUCAGGAGUAUUUAAAGUGGUUGGUCGAGGAUCUUACUGGGUUAUAUUUACGUAUAACUCAUUCCAUACCUGCAUGUCCAUGCAGAUACUGUUGCUGAGGACGAUGCUAGUGGCUAACAAAUUCGUUGAGUGGAUUCUACUGCUGAGGUGAGCCGCCGCAUUAUUCGUGGAGGCCGCUAUUUCAGCUCUACCUAUCUUAUGUCUAUUAUUUCGUUCGGGUUUGCAUGCCCGUCAAUUAAACUUCUAUUUCUCUGUUAGAUGCACCAUGGUCUUAGUAGUGAAUUUGGGUUAGAGUUUAUUAUUUGAGUGCUCAUUAAAAUUUAUAAAUAAAUUUAUGGUUUUAGUUGGAUAAUUAUUUCGUAUUUAGUAAUAUUUAAUGCAUUUGGACUAGUACGUGUUUCUCUCAAUGCUUAUAUAAAAGGUUAAGAGUACAGGAAUUGGUACAAUAAAUAGGCUUGCCUGGAAAGAAGGAAAGUUAUUCCGAAAGACAGCAAGCAGUUGUCCGAAGACGAUCCUGUUGAUCCUAAGCUUGAUAUGUUAUUCAUUUCCUCUUCAAGACAAGCUGAAGAGCCAUCCUUUCCAGCAGCAACCUCUGGUUCAACUUCUAGCUUUUGGUCAUCACGAGCUAAGACAUGCGGCUUCAUCUCAGAAGAGCACUGGUUUUUUAGGUGGUCCUGUUCUCCAAAGGGGGGUUUCUGAAUGAGUUUACAAUUCAUUAGUGUUGAAACUUGGUACACAAUAUGAAUAUGUUCAUACAGUCUGCAGGUGGGAGUUGAAGUACAUGCAACAGGUGGCUGAUAAUUGGAUAGAUUUCCUAUUUGUUAUGCAUGCCUUAUCUCGUGAAGCUAACUGAAAAGGUAUAGAUAUUAACAUAGAGCUGCUAUUUCCUUGCAAAUUUUCGUUUAGCCUUUGGCUCCUUGAUUCUGACAUUUGGCGCAGCCAAAAACUUCACCACUAUGCUGUGCGCCUUGCAAAAGCUCAAGUGUCUUAAGGCAAUGUUUGGCCUUGAAAAAAGGAUUUCUAAAAGAAGAAAUUAUGUCCGUUUGCUUAUUAGGACAACAUUGUAUUCUAGAGAACAAACAAAAAACAAAAUCAAAAGAAAACAAAAAAACAACCUUUUGGUGGUUUUGUUUGACUCAAACCAAAAUUGAACCAACUUCUACAACAGCCCCCAAAUUCUGAAUGUUAUCACUUUAACCCUCUUUUUAUAAGUUAAUCUACUUUUUAAUUACCUACUUUUCCCAAAAGAAGAUGAAAAGAAAAGCAGUUUCCAGGAAAUUCCCAAGACUUUCUGAACACCAUCAUUCUUAUCUUCUGCUUGGCACUUUUAUUGUCAAUUUUUGAGGUCCUUAUCUCAACGUUAUUCCUGAAAACUGGGCUUUCAAUUUUUUGGUAAGAUGAUGUUGUCUCAUCUAAACAAGAUUUCCUUUCUCUUGAAAUGCAGAUAUGCUGUCUUAGCAACUGUUAUUUGUUUAUUGGACUCAGUUAUGAACGUUCCUUUUUCAGGCGAGAGCUCCCCUGCUAGUGAGAUGCUGCAAUUACGCACUUAUGUUUUCUAUCUUACUCUGCUUACGCAUUUAUCUGUCUCAUUGACAAAAUUUCGUGCAUCUAGGCAUAUGUUUUUUCCUUUAUAUCAUUGCUUACUGACUUACAAACAACUAUUAUGCCUCAGCCCCAGGCAAGUUGAGGUGACUAUAUGAAUCUUCAUUGUCCCAUAUCGCUCCAUUUAAGCUCAUCUCAUCAUGCUUACUGACGUAAAAAUUACUUAUUUCGUAUUAAAGACUACUUAGACAUUACACAUGUAUAAUAAUAUAUUAUAUCGCUGGCUUUAUGUGCUUCACUAUCUACUUCUCUGUGAUGCCGAUUUUUUCGUUUGUUUGUUUGACAUAGGAAGAGGAGAAGAAUGCUGAUCUUAGUUGUGUUCAUAUUCCUCCUGUAUCCAUUUAGUGGCAUGAUACUUUAUGGGUUCUUUCUUAUCAUACUCUAGCAUAAUUGGAUAUAGAAUUUGAUUAUAAGCUUCACCACUGCAGAUGGGAAAUAUAACACAUGGUGCCUGCGAGACUUAGUUUUUGUGGUUCUUAAUGGUUUAGUAAAGCUAGCGAUUCAUCUAAAAAUAAUAAAGAAUUUAAUUAAAGAAUCUCACUGGCUCAUGCUUAGCAGCAGCUAUGAGUUUGUUCUUGUUUGCCUAACAAGAUUGGGAAAUCCAAUCUAAAAAUGAUUCUAUUAUGAAGCAUAUGCUGUAGUGCUAAUAAGAUAUUCAAAUCCAAAAUACCUUAAGUUUAUAACUACAACUCAAUUUCGUGCACAUGACAAUUUUUAGAGGGAGGGUCUUUUCUUAAUUGAGGUAUGAUUUAAACCAACUCCAAUUGCAAGGUGGAGUAGAUGCUCGGCACCAACGCAUGCCUUGGCUUGUCUUAAUUUUUAGAUCUAUCAACUACUCUGUGACAUAUCAGGUGUCUACCUUUUGGUGUUUUCUCUAUGUCUUCUCUAAUGUAACCAAAUCUUAGUUAUAACAUGGAUUCACAACUAUUAUGCUAGGAAUGUUUCUUCCCAGAUCUACUUCCUAUCCAACAUAACUUGGAGAAGUUUGAAUAUAGUAGUAAUUAUGUGUUUGGCAAAUUGAUUCUUGUAGUACUGGUAUUUCCCUUGCUUGUCAAAAUCAUUAACUCCACAAUCUCAGGGGAUGUACAUCAGUAUGAAAGAAAUUUGCUUCUGUUGCCACGCUUCAGGUGCUUGUUGGUUGUUUUUUUUUUUACUGUUCACAUCUCUUGCAAAAAUCAAUCUUGAUAACAUAAAAGCUCUCCUUGUUUCAAUCAGCUUAAUCUUGUGAAAACAUUCUUGAUUGCACUUGUGAUGUUUUCAGUUCAUAAUGUUCUAAGUAGCGCAUUAUUGUUAUUGCUGCUUUUGAGGGAUUACACACACACACACACUCUGUCAUCAUGUUUGUUAUCGGCUAGUAUAGCAUGUUUGAAGCUUAUAGUGGCUAAAUGCUAAACUUCUGGCUGU